rnacentral:lncRNA from 1 species
GUAAAAUUUUUGGUGCUACUAAUUCAUUUCUUAUUAUAGAUGCAACUAUGUAAUGUUUGUACAAGCCCAUUUUUGCCCGGGCCCAUUAAAACCUAAUACCCAAAUUUAAUCCCAAUACCCACUAAACUAACCCAACUAUCUACCCAAACAACAAAAUAAGCCCAAAUGGCCCAAACCCAAACCCAUUAGUCAAACUAAGGUUUCAAAAAAGCUGAAACCCUAGCUUAUCUUCUGCCACAGCCGUCAUCUCUGCCACCCACCUCCACCUGCUCCAUUGCUCAACCACCUACAAGAGAAAAGGAGAACGGAUAGCAAGAAAUAAUAAUAAAACUUGUAAAAAAGAUGGCUAUAAAAAGCCAUUUGGAAAUCAUGUAAAUGGGGGGACAUUUUGAAUAAAAAAAAUCAGUGAUUCAAAGCAAAUAAUAACAAAUCAGGAGAAAAACAUCAAAUCAGAGGAACCCAAAAUACCAAAAAUCAAACCCGAAAACCUAAGGUGAUUUUAUUUUAUUUAUUUAUUUUUAUUUUCGAAUCUAUUUACUUGCAUGUAUACAUAUAUUGCAAACAUAUAAAAAAAUAAAAUAAUAUACCUUUUUGAAUUUCCGGCCACCGUGCGCGGCGGCCAGCGACGACUGGCGACGGCGGCGGACGAAGCUGGAGCUUGGCCGGAGGGAGAGGGCCUUAAGAGAGAAUAGAGAGUUUUUGAAGUUUUUUUUUAAAACAAAGGAAGAAUGAGUUUUUUUUUUAAUUUUUUGACUUAUAUAGCCCCCCCAAAAACGACGUCGUUUUGGGACUGGCCUUAAAUGCCCAAAACGACGUCGUUUUGACCUGGACCGAUCCGACCCGAUAAAUAAUAAGUAAUUUAAAUCCAUGAAUUACAAUGGUAUGUGUAAUGGCCAAUUUUGGCCCAGAUCAAUAAAACAAAAGAAACCCCAAACAAAUCAAAUUAAUUCCAAAAUAAAAAGUCCCAAAAUAAAUAAAGUCCAUUUUACAAAAACAAACAGCAGGCCCAAUUUCCACAUUGAAUGGCCCAAACCCAAAACCAAAUGGCCAUUACAUCAAACCCUAGCCCAAAUCCUAGCCCACUAUCCUAAAAUUUUUUCAGCAAACUAACCCUAGGGCUAGUCCCUAUUGCGGCCGCCGAUCCCACCUUUGGCCUCCCAUCGGCCGCACGCCACCACUCCAUGCGUCCCACGCCUCUCUGACACCUGCGACAAGGAGUAAAUGUGAAGACAGAGAGCAGUACACGGGCAGUAGAAGAAAUCAAGCAAAAAGGAAAAAAAUAUGAAAUGAAUAGUCACCUUAAUCGGCUAUAAGAGCUCGAUUUUUCUAUUUGUAUUUUUUACGCGCACAAGCAAAGUAAAUCACAAAAGAAAAACUAAGGUUAAAAGAUGUUUGUCGAUUCUUUCAUUCAUUUUAUUUUAUGUUUUAUUGUAUUUCUUUUCCUUGCAAAUAUGUUUUAACAAUAAACUAAUAAACAAAGAGAUAAACUUACCUGAGCAACCCCGCAUUCCUCCAUCACUGAGGGUGUUUCACCGGUGCAGAGGACCCCAAAACCUCUUAAGGUUUGGCCGUGGCUUUGACGGCUACAUCGGCUAGGCAAAGGGACCGAAGUGUCUUUUUAUUCGAUUUUUGUCGCGAACGAGAGGCUAGGCCUUUAGAUCCGGCCAAACAGAGGCUAAAAAGCUCGAUUUUUGCACCUUCGACCACCGCCUAUGGUGGCCGGUGCGAAGGUGAACUGUCGACACCAAUAACCAAAGGGAAGGGGGUUUUUGGAGAAAUAGACUAAGGGUUUUCAGUUUUUUUUUAAAAGAGGGCGGAAAU